rnacentral:rRNA from 1 species
UACGUAGGGGGCAAGCGUUGUCCGGAAUCAUUGGGCGUAAAGCGCGUGUAGGCGGUCCGGUAAGUCCGCUGUGAAAGUCGGGGGGCUCAACCCUCGGAUGCCGGUGGAGUACUGUCGGGCUUGAGUACGGAAGAGGCGAGUGGAAUUCCUGGUGGUAGCGGUGAAAUGCGCAGAUAUCAGGAGGAACACCAAUUGCGAAGGCAGCUCGCUGGGACGUUACUGACGCUGAGACGCGAAAGCUAGGGGAGCGAACAGGAUUAGAAAC